rnacentral:rRNA from 1 species
CCUACGGGUGGCAGCAGUAGGGAAUAGUGCUCAAUGGGGGAAACCCUGAAGCAGCAACGCCGCGUGGAGGAUGAAGGUUUUAGGAUUGUAAACUCCUUUUGUGAGAGAAGAUAAUGACGGUAUCUCACGAAUAAGCACCGGCUAACUCCGUGCCAGCAGCCGCGGUAAUACGGAGGGUGCAAGCGUUACUCGGAAUCACUGGGCGUACCGAGUGCGCAGGCGGACUUGUAAGUCAGAUGUGAAAUCCUGUAGCUUAACUUCAGAACUGCAUUUGAAACUAUGAGUCUAGAGUGUGGGAGAGGUCGGUGGACUUCUUGUUGUAGGGGUAACAUCCGUAGAUAUCACGAGGACUCCUCAUUGCGAAGGUGACCUACUGGAACAUUACUGCCGCUCAUGCACGACAGCGUGUGGAGCAAACAGGAUUAGAUACCCCGGUAGUC